GGAUGUGAGCACAAUUCCAAUGUGACAUCUGUCACCCACUGAUGGGGUUGAUUCAGCUAAUCUGUUUGAGUGGGCAAGUGUCUCCUUCUUCCUUCACUAUGCUGUGUGCACCUUUUAGAAGUUACAUGCUAUGUCAUGGAGGAUGGCUUUCCCAAGUGAGUAGCUAUGCCUUUGCUAGAACUUUCAGACAAGCUACCAAGGAAGCAGAACCCCAUAGAGCCCUAUAGUGUAUGGCUCCUUGACUGU
rnacentral:sRNA from 1 species